CGGAGGGAGCUAGCGUUGUUCGGAAUUACUGGGCGGUAAAGACGCACGUAGGCGGCUUUGUUAAGUUAAGGGGUGGAAAGACCUGGAGCUCAACUUCAGAAUUAGUCCCUUAACGUAACUGCAUCGCUUGAAUCCAGGAGAGGUGAGUGGAAUUCCGAGUGUAGAGGUGAAAUUACGUAGAUAUUCGGAGAACACCAGUGGCGAAGGCGGCUCACUGGACGUGGUAUUUGACGCUGAGGUGCGAAAGCGUGGGGGAGCAAACAGGAUU
rnacentral:rRNA from 1 species